ensembl:lncRNA novel transcript
GGAAGGAGGAGCCACUGCUAGUGGGUACGAGGUUUCUUCUUGGUACAAGGCCAAGAUCCAACUCAGAAGACUAGAAAAUGAACAACCCAGCAAACUUAGGAGAUGGGGAAGGAAGGGAAUUCAGAAGGUGAUAGCUGCAAGCAUCGGCAGACCAGUCCUAGCAAAAUGGAGUUUAAAAGGGGGACUUCUACGUUCUGUCCUCCUGCAGCCAUCUAAAAUCAGCCAGAAAGGUUUAGGAUCCCAUUUCCUGUUCUUGCAUCGGCUGUCCAAGCUGCUGUUCCUCUCUCCGCAGUAAGAGGGUGUUUCUCUCCCUGUUCAAGAGGAGCACCAACACUUGAGGACAGUAUCAUCCCUAGACCUUGGCAAGAGAGACCACUGAGUGAGGCAUCCAUGGAACCCAAGGAAGAGGCCUACGAAGAACCUGCAGUCACCUUCUAGACCAUUCUCCCUCACCAAACUGUCCCCUCCAGAGAGCUGAGGACUGGAUCUUCCCAUGCUGACACCUCCAGUGGGAAAGAAAAUUCUAGAUUCAGCUCUGGGUGUCCAAGUCAUUAUGAAGGCAUAUUUGUCAAGGUGGAAGAAAAGGACAUAUUCUAUUUAGCAGUUUGUAAGUUUGAUCGAUAACUUUAAAAUAUUUGGACCUAU